CCGGUUUGAACUCAGAUCAUGUAAGGAUUUAAAGGUCGAACAGACCUUCCUUUAUAACUGCUGCAUUAUAAGGAUACCUUAAUUCAACAUCGAGGUCGCAAACCUUCUUGUCGAUGAGGACUCUCAAAGAAGAUUACGCUGUUAUCCCUAAAGUAACUUAAUCUUUUAAUCUUUAAUAAAGGAUCAAUUAUUUUUCAAUUAUACUUGUUAAUAAGUAUUUAAGAACAGUUACUAAUUAUAUUCCCGUCGCCCCAACGCAACAAACAUUAACUAAAAUCAAGUUAUACUAACAAUUUAUAAUUUAACUAAUUUAUUGUCAAGUUUUAUAGGGUCUUAUCGUCCCCUUAAAGUAUUUAAGCCUUUUCACUUA
rnacentral:rRNA from 1 species